rnacentral:rRNA from 1 species
UACAGAGGGUGCAAGCGUUAAUCGGAAUUACUGGGCGUAAAGCGCACGUAGGCGGCUUUGUAAGUUAGAGGUGAAAGCCCAGGGCUUAACCCUGGAAUUGCCUUUAAGACUGCAUCGCUAGAAUCGUGGAGAGGUGAGUGGAAUUCCGAGUGUAGAGGUGAAAUUCGUAGAUAUUCGGAAGAACACCAGUGGCGAAGGCGACUCACUGGACACGUAUUGACGCCGAGGUGCGAAAGCGUGGGGAGCAAACAGG